UAAUACAGAGGUCCCAAGCGUUGUUCGGAUUCACUGGGCGUAAAGGGUGCGUAGGUGGCAGUGUAAGUCUGAUGUGAAAGCUUCGAGCUUAACUCGAAAAUGGCAUUGGAUACUAUAUUGCUGGAGGUUUGGAGGGGGGACUGGAAUUCUCGGUGUAGCAGUGAAAUGCGUAGAUAUCGAGAGGAACACCGGUGGCGAAGGCGAGUCCCUGGACAACACCUGACACUGAGGCACGAAAGCUAGGGGAGCAAACAGGAUUAGAUACCCUGGUAGUCCUAGCCGUAAACGGUGCACAUUUGCUGUAAGAGGAAUCGACCCCUUUUGUGGCGUAGCCAACGCGUUAAAUGUGCCGCCUGGGAAGUACGGUCGCAAGAUUA
rnacentral:rRNA from 1 species